AGAGUUUGAUCAUGGCUCAGGACGAACGCUGGCGGCGUGCUUAACACAUGCAAGUCGAACGGGGUUUUUAUUCGGUAAACACCAAGUGGCGAACGGGUGAGUAACGCGUAAGCAAUCUACCUUCAAGAUGGGGACAACACUUCGAAAGGGGUGCUAAUACCGAAUGAAUGUAAGAGUAUCGCAUGAGACACUUACUAAAGGAGGCCUCUGACAUAAGCUUCCGCUUGAAGAUGAGCUUGCGUCUGAUUAGCUAGUUGGUGAGGGUAAAGGCCCACCAAGGCGACGAUCAGUAGCCGGUCUGAGAGGAUGAACGGCCACAUUGGGACUGAGACACGGCCCAGACUCCAACGGGAGGCAGCA
rnacentral:rRNA from 1 species